rnacentral:lncRNA from 1 species
CAACUGAUAAUGUUUCUUGGAGACACCCCACAAAGGGCUCUCUUUUUAUUAUGAGACUCAUUGAACAUCUGCAAGAAUAUGCCUGUUCCUGUGAUGUGGAGGAAAUUUUCUGCAAGGUUCGACUUUCAUUUGAGCAGCCAGAUGAUAAAGCACAGAUGCCCAGCACUGAAAGGAUGACUUUGACAAUACGCUUCUACCUCUUCCCAGAACAU